rnacentral:rRNA from 1 species
UUUAUGGAGAGUUUGAUCCUGGCUCAGGAUGAACGCUGGCGGCGUGCCUAAUACAUGCAAGUCGAGCGAACAGAUAAGGAGCUUGCUCCUUUGACGUUAGCGGCGGACGGGUGAGUAACACGUGGGUAACCUACCUAUAAGACUGGAAUAACUCCGGGAAACCGGGGCUAAUGCCGGAUAACAUGUUGAACCGCAU